ensembl:lncRNA
CCAACAAUCCUACCUGGUAGACAUUUUCAUCAUUGCUGUUUUACAGAUAAGGAAACUGAGGCUUAGGGUGGUAAAAUAACUUAUGUAAAUCACAUAGCUAGUAGGUGGCAAAGCUAAGAUCAAUAUGACAGCGAUGAUUUCUACCACCAACUUUUUUUUUUUUUUUAGAGACAGGGUCUCGCUAUGUUGCCCAGGUGGGAGUGCAGUGGCUAUUCACAGGUGCGAUCCCACUACUGAUCAGCACAGGAAUUUUGACCUGCUCUGUUUCCAACCUGGGCCGGCCUGUGAGCGUGUGCGCCCAAGUAUUUAAAUUAAUACUGAAAUAAAGUGCAUAUGUGACAGACACUCUACAACCCACAUGGUGAGAGUCAUUACAAUUAGAAACUCCUGCCUGAGCUUCCAGCUUUCAUACCCUGUCCUGCCAAAUUAGAAUGCUGCAAAUCUGAUAAUGAUUAAAAAUACAAAAUUAUGCAGAAAACACGCUUUGAUAAAUUCUAAUUGGAUCACUGAGAAAAGUGAUCUCCAUGUCACUUUGGAGAUAAAAGUGUGGACAUAAAACUCUCAUCGCGGCCCAAGGCAAAUCACACCAAUGUCCUGCCCUGCCCAAGGCUCCAUGUCUUGGAAAUUCUAUGAGGUUAGCACGAGGAUGAACUAAAUACCAAGUGCAGUUCUCAAAGGAAAAAUAAAAGAAAUAACCACACGAGGGACUCUUCGGAACUGAGUCUGGAGGGGCUCCCCAGUCCACUCCAGGAGAAUUUGCGGAAAACAAGUUUACUUCCUAUUCCAUUCAUACCGCCUGUUUAAAAACCACCUCCUCCCCAUUCCUGUAAUUUGCAUCGCUCUGGGCUCCUGACUCUGUUGCAUCUUUCUUACAUUCUAAGGAUAUCUGGAUUCGAUUUACUUAAGAGCACAUAUGGCUUAAUUUUGUAUUUCUGAUCAUCAUUUACUAAAUUUGCCCCCAUUUUAUCAAAUGAUGGUUUUUUCUCCUAUUUUUAAUAAGUUAAAGCUUUUUUUUUAUCCAGCUUAUCUAAAAUCCCUAGCUUAAAAUGAGUUUAAUUCUAGCAAUAAAUACAUGUUUAUCUCUGAAUUCUUUUAUAAUUUGACAAUAUAUGCUUUUCCCCAAUAUAUUACUGUAUUAAGAGUUUUUAAAAGGUACAAUAACAUCUGAUCUCUCUGUUUCACUGGAUCAUGCCCGAAUGAGUCAAUGCCUCCAUCAAACAGAAUAUCUGGUAUCACUUCAUCUAAUUAAAAAGAACAUUCAGUGUGCACAUGCACCCAUGAUGAGAAGAAAACACCAAAGCAAACGGCCAAAAAAAAGGAGAAUCCCAGGAUUUCUGUGUGAACCCAUACAGAUACCAUAAAUAUUUAUCGCUAGAAACAGUAUUUCAAACAAAAGGUCUUCGGGCAAGUAUUAAAACUGCCUUGGAUACAAGGGGCCCUAUCACUUGUAAAACGCUGCAAAUUUGAUAAAUAAUGAUUAAAAAUACAAAAUUACGCAGAAAAUGCCCUUUGAUAAAUUGAUCUUUAAAAAAAAAUCUUAAUUGAGGUUCUCUA